UAAAAGCUGAUGUUAACAGGUUUAAUCCCUUUAGUCCCUGACCAUUGCGAUUCCUAUAACUUUGUUUCCACUGUUCGCCAGUGGUGGCUUUGUUAACAGCACAUUGAGCAUAACCUUGGGCCCUUCUGCUUGGAGUUCAUGACACUAGCCAUGACUUUUUUUUUGACAGGUGACCUCCUAGAUCAAUUCAAGGAGCAGGAGUUGGCCAAAUCAGGGCCAAAAGACAUGGACAACACCAGGCAGCGGGUCGCCAAUGUCCGGGAAUUCCUCCUCCUUUGUUGUGAUGGAGUGCCGCGGAGGGACCCGCUGGCCUUAAAAGACCAGAGGCGGCUGGCUGUGGCCUGAUGGAUCAACGCCAUCAGAAACAUCACCAUCCAGGAGGUCGAAGAAACAUCACCAUCAGAAACAUCACCAU
ensembl:lncRNA